rnacentral:lncRNA from 1 species
CAUCAAAAAAAGGAAGUGUUAACAGAGAAUCUGCUUUACAAAAUCUGAGACACAAAAUUGAAACAAGAAAAACAGGAACAAAGGGAGCCCCAAAACACCUUCAGUCAUGUUUGGCUGCCACACAACUAGAUGCAAUGGCAAUAAUAACUCUGCACAAAAAAACUCCAGAAGACUUGAAAUUGGGUGGCUUCAUUUAAAAAAAAGUGCUGCAGACUUUGAGGAUGUAGAUUACACAAUACCAGGGCCUUCUACAAGUUCAACACCAGCUGAAGGAAGAAGUUAUGCAGUCCACCACACCACCCAGGGCUUUCAAGAUGCUGAUGCAAUGCACAUUUCAUCCCAUGCCAAAGAAUUUCUGAAUGUAAUUGGUGUGAUGCAGUCCUCAAGUGAGCUCCAGGACACAGCUACAGGCUAUGAAAUACAUGGGUUCUCCAUUCAGGCACAAGAAAAGUCACAUGAAAUUAUUGUAAUACAGGAAGACUCAGAAACUAACAUAGGAAAACAUCAUUCCGAUAGUGCUGAUCUUGAUUCGACAAUUGAAUGGAAUUUGGAGUAUAAUGACGUUGAUCUUACACAGGAUGCAGAGCCAAAUGACGUUUCUGAUGUGGCAACAGCUGCUGGACAUGACCUUCUGUUUCAUUGGCUGAUGCAGAGCCAAAUUAAGUUUCUAAUGUAGCAACAGCUGCUGGACAUGACCAUCUGCAACCAUCAUCAAUACACCCAGUAAAUGCUGAGAACUUCCAACAUGUUCUGGUGAAUCAGAUUGUUACGAAAGUGAGGGGAUGGACGUAAGUGCAGAAUAAUUACUUUAUUUAUUAAACAAACUAAAACAAACUAACAAACAAACAAAAUAAACCAAAGUUUCACUGAAUAUAAACA